rnacentral:rRNA from 1 species
GUAACAAGGUUUCCGUAGGUGAACCUGCGGAAGGAUCAUUAUUGAAUAAACCAUGGCGGGCAGUCUUGCUGGCCUUUUCCCUCCUCCAGGGAGGAGAGAGGGCAUGUGCACGCUCGUCAAAAGUUUCAUUCGCAUACCCCUUUCCACCUGUGCACACACUGUAGGCCCCGUUAGAAGGGGGGGAGCCUUGGUCCCUCCCCUUUUUCGGACCUACGUUUUACAACCCUACCCCCUCGAAUAUGAUACGAACGUAGUGACUUGGGCCACCGCGCCUAAUAAAACAUAAUACAACUUUCAACAACGGAUCUCUUGGCUCUCGCAUCGAUGAAGAACGCAGCGAAAUGCGAUAAGUAAUGUGAAUUGCAGAAUUCAGUGAAUCAUCGAAUCUUUGAACGCACCUUGCGCUCCUUGGUAUUCCGAGGAGCAUGCCUGUUUGAGUGUCAUAAAUCUCUCAGCUCCCCUCCAGUUUUGUCUGGUAGGAUGGGUUGGAUCAUGGGGGGGAAAACUUUGUCGGCUCCAUUGCGAAUCGACUCCCCUGAAAAGCAUUAGUAGUCCGUGCUGUCUGCCGCCGGUGUGAUAAUAAUCUUUAUGCCGCCUGGUCCAGCAUACACGUUGUCUGCUCCGAACAGUCCGAGCACAAUCUCGGACAUCACAAUUUUAUUUUGACCACUGACCUCAAAGCAGGGAAGAGAACCACC